rnacentral:rRNA from 1 species
UACGUAGGGGGCGAGCGUUGUCCGGAUUUAUUGGGCGUAAAGAGCUCGUAGGCGGCUCAGUAAGUCAGGUGUGAAAACUCCAGGCUCAACCUGGAGACGCCACCUGAUACUGCUGUGGCUAGAGUCCGGUAGGGGAGCAUGGAAUUCCUGGUGUAGCGGUGAAAUGCGCAGAUAUCAGGGAGGAACACCAGUGGCGAAGGCGGCUCACUGGACUGGUACUGACGCUGGAUG